CAGACGCGGGGGCGGGGUAAGAAGUUGAGUGACAGGCAAGGCAGCAUCCACAUGACAGGCGGCGCCGAAGGGAUCCUGCCCCUGAGCUUUCAUGAGCUGUUGAACCAUCUGGAAUUCACAGGCCUGUCAUGAGAGACACGAUGAGAAGUCCUUAAAGGUAGAUCACUGAUUCACAGGGGAGCAGGCGGAGGCAAGGGUGAGUCAGUGCUUGGAACUCAGUCAUCCAGAUUUGGCUCUGGAAACUUCUGAAGCUGUAGCCUUUGGGGAUCCCUGACUGCGAGUACAGGAAGCCAACGCUAUGUGGUCUUCUGGAAACUCAUUAUCUUUUUCACUGGUGCUAUCUGGGAAAAACAGAUGAAAACCUGAAGGUGUUCUGUAUGUGUGCUUUCAAAAGCAAGGAUCUGGCCGGACGCAGUGGCUCAGGCCUGUAAUCCCAGCACUUUGGGAGGCCGAGGCAGGAGGAUCACCUGAGGUCAGGAGUUUGAGACCAGCUUGGCCAACAUGGCGAAACCAUCUCUACUAAAAGUACAAAAAUUAUCUGGGUGUGGUGGUGGGCACCUGUAAUCACAGCUACUCAAGUAGCUGA
rnacentral:lncRNA from 10 species